rnacentral:rRNA from 1 species
UACGUAGGCAGCAAGCGUUGUUCGGAGUUACUGGGCGUAAAGGGUGUGUAGGCGGUUCUUUAAGUUUGCUGUGAAAUCUCCCGGCUUAACCGGGAGGGUGCGGUGAAUACUGAGGGACUAGAGUACGGGAGAGGAAAGUGGAAUUCCUGGUGUAGCGGUGAAAUGCGUAGAUAUCAGGAGGAACACCGGUGGUGUAGACGGCUUUCUGGACCGUAACUGACGCUGAGACGCGAAAGCGUGGGGAGCAAACAGG